rnacentral:rRNA from 1 species
UACAGAGGGGGCAAGCGUUGUUCGGAAUUACUGGGCGUAAAGGGCGCGUAGGCGGCCUUCUAAGUCGAACGUGAAAUCCCUGGGCUCAACCCAGGAACUGCGUCCGAUACUGGGAGGCUUGAAUCCGGGAGAGGGAUGUGGAAUUCCAGGUGUAGCGGUGAAAUGCGUUGAUAUCUGGAGGAACACCGGUGGCGAAGGCGGCAUCCUGGACCGGUAUUGACGCUGAUGCGCGAAAGCCAGGGGAGCAAACGGG